AGCGAACGCUGGCGGCAGGCCUAACACAUGCAAGUCGAACGAAGUCUUCGGACUUAGUGGCGGACGGGUGAGUAACACGUGGGAACGUACCUUUUGGUUCGGAACAACUCAGGGAAACUUGAGCUAAUACCGGAUGAGCCCUUAGGGGGAAAGAUUUAUCGCCGAAAGAGCGGCCCGCGUUAGAUUAGCUAGUUGGUGAGGUAAAGGCUCACCAAGGCUACGAUCUAUAGCUGGUCUGAGAGGAUGAUCAGCCACACUGGGACUGAGACACGGCCCAGACUCCUCCGGGAGGCAGCAGUGGGGAAUCUUGCGCAAUGGGCGAAAGCCUGACGCAGCCAUGCCGCGUGAAUGAUGAAGGUCUUAGGAUUGUAAAAUUCUUUUACCAGGGACGAUAAUGACGGUACCUGGGGAAAAAGCCCCGGCUAACUUCGUGCCAGCAGCCGCCGUAAUAC
rnacentral:rRNA from 1 species